rnacentral:snRNA from 1 species
AUUGCUUCUUGGCCUUUUGGCUAAGAUCAAGUGUAGUAUCUGUUCUUAUCAGUUAUCCUCUAUGCAAGGACAAUAUAUUAAAUGGAUUUUUGGAAGCAGGAGAUAUAAUAGGAGUUUGCUCUGUUCACUCCAUACAUCGACCUGGUAUUGCAGUACUUCCAGGAACAGUGCACCAAAA